rnacentral:rRNA from 1 species
AGCGAACGCUGGCGGCAGGCCUAAUACAUGCAAGUCGAACGGCUCUUCGGAGCAGUGGCGGACGGGUGAGUAACGCGUGGGAACGUGCCCUUUGGUACGGAACAACUGAGGGAAACUUCAGCUAAUACCGUAUGUGCCCUUCGGGGGAAAGAUUUAUCGCCAUUGGAGCGGCCCGCGUUGGAUUAGCUAGUUGGUGGGGUAAAGGCCCACCAAGGCUACGAUCCAUAGCUGGUCUGAGAGGAUGAUCAGCCACACUGGGACUGAGACACGGCCCAGACUCCUACGGGAGGCAGCAGUAGGGAAUCUUGCGCAAUGGGCGAAAGCCUGACGCAGCCAUGCCGCGUGUAUGAUGAAGGUCUUAGGAUUGUAAAAUACUUUCACCGGGGAAGAUAAUGACGGUACCCGGAGAAGAAGCCCCGGCUAACUUCGUGCCAGCCGCCGCGGUAA